AGCCGCUCAGAACUUAAGAAUUGACGGGGCCCGCACAAGCGAGGAACAUGUGGUUUAAUUCGAUGAUACGCGAGGAACCUUACCCGGGCUUGAAAUGCAUCUGACCGGCCUUGAAAGAGGUUUUCCCUUCGGGCAGAUGUGAGGUGCUGCAUGGUUGUCGUCAGCUCGUGCCGUGAGGUGUCGGCUUAAGUGCCAUAACGAGCGCAACCCUCAUCAUUAGUUACCAUCAGGUAAGGCUGGGGACUCUAAUGAGACUGCCAUCGUAAGAUGUGAGGAAGGUGGGGAUGACGUCAAAUCAGCACGGCCCUUACGUCCGGGGCGACACACGUGUUACAAUGGGUGGUACAAAGGGCAGCUACCUGGCGACAGGAUGCUAAUCUCCAAAACCACUCUCAGUUCGGAUCGGAGUCUGCAACUCGACUCCGUGAAGCUGGAUUCGCUAGUAAUCGCGCAUCAGCCACGGCGCGGUGAAUACGUUCCCGGGCCUU
rnacentral:rRNA from 1 species